CCUACGGGAUGCACCAGUGGGGAAUAUUGCACAAUGGGCGCAAGCCUGAUGCAGCCAUGCCGCGUGUAUGAAGGAGGCCUUCGGGUUGUAAAGUACUUUCAGCGGGGAGGAAGGUGUUGUGGUUAAUAACCACAGCAAUUGACGUUACCCGCAGAAGAAGCACCGGCUAACUCCGUGCCAGCAGCCGCGGUAAUACGGAGGGUGCAAGCGUUAAUCGGAAUUACUGGGCGUAAAGCGAACGCAGGCGGUCUGUCAAGUCGGAUGUGAAAUCCCCGGGCUCAACCUGGGAACUGCAUUCGAAACUGGCAGGCUGAAGUCUUGUAGAGGGGGGUAGAAUUCCAGGUGUAGCGGUGAAAUGCGUAGAGAUCUGGAGGAAUACCGGUGGCGAAGGCGGCCCCCUGGACAAAGACUGACGCUCAGGUGCGAAAGCGUGGGGAGCAAACAGGAUUAGAUACCCCAGUAGUC
rnacentral:rRNA from 1 species